UGCGAGAUCAUCUAGCGGUAGGAUGCAGCUCUCUGAAAGCUGUCACCUUGGUUCGAAUCCAAGUCUCGCAG
rnacentral:tRNA from 1 species